UCUGCCCCUAGAAGGGUUGCAGGUGUUGCUGUUGUGUCCCAUAGGCAUUAGAAGGUAGUAGAGGGGAGAGAGGCUGUGCUCACACUCAGUGUUCUGAUCUAUGAGCGUCUAAUGUUAGUAGCCUAACAUU
ensembl:snoRNA